rnacentral:misc_RNA from 1 species
GAAAUGCGAUAAGUAAUGUGAAUUGCAGAAUUCAGUGAAUCAUCGAAUCUUUGAACGCACCUUGCGCUCUUUGGUAUUCCUUGGAGCAUGCCUGUUUGAGUAUCAUGAAAUCUUCAAAGUAAAUCUUUUGUUAACUCAAUUGGUUUCUACUUUGGUAUUGGAGGUCUUUGCAGCUUCACACCUGCUCCUCUUUGUUCAUUAGCUGGAUCUCAGUGUUAUGCUUGGUUCCACUCGGCGUGAUAAGUUAUCUAUCGCUGAGGACACUGCAAAAGGUGGCCAAGGUAAAUGCAGAUGAACCGCUUCUAAUAGUCCAUUGACUUGGACAAUACUUUUAUGAUCUGAUCUCAAAUCAGGUAGGACUACCCGCUGAACUUAAGC